rnacentral:lncRNA from 1 species
CAUGUCGACUUUCUAAUUAUAUCACUUAGAUUAUAGGAUGAAAUUUAUUGAAGUUGCAAGGCAUGUUAUGAUAGUUGCUGCCAUACACGUAGGAAAAUGUAAAGCAGAAAAAUAGGAUCAUCCAGUGAUUCGUUUUUCACAAAAAUAUGGUGGAAUGUUGAAGAAUUUUAUUGCUGUCAAAAUCCAAUAGACCGCUGGUAGAUCCAUAUAUAAAGAA